rnacentral:rRNA from 1 species
AACGUAGGAGGCGAGCGUUAUCCGGAUUUACUGGGUGUAAAGCGCGAGCAGGCGGUUUUUUAAGUGGUGUGUGAAAGCGCCCGGCUCAACCGGGCGAGGACAGGCCAGACUGAAAAACUAGAGGUAGGUAGAGGCGGGUGGAAUUCCGGGUGUAGUGGUGAAAUGCGUAGAGAUCCGGAGGAACACCAGUGGCGAAGGCGACCCGCUGGGCCUGACCUGACGCUCAGACGCGAAAGCAUGGGGAGCGAACGGG